ensembl:lncRNA
UAUAGGAAGUUCUGCAACAUAUACACAUGUAAAAUUUGAACAAUUAGAUUGCUAGCAUAAAGUGAAGCACUGUUCUUCAUGAAGACCAAAACAAAUCUAUGCAUUGAUCUCAUUAAAACUACAUCUUAAAAGCAGAGUGUAUCAACAUAUAUCUGAGAUGAGCAUAGAAGUAUCUAUCUGCAACUAGAGAUAUAUUUACUGUAACUGGGGAAUAAGUGACUUUGUUUAAAGGAGUGUCACAUGUUGGUCAUCAAAUAGUUGUAAACAGCAGAAGCAUCUGCCAAAACCACAGCUGUUAAAGACAUAUCUCAAGAAUAUGAUCAUAUUAGCUAUCAGGUGUCCCAAAGCUAAGGAGCAAGGUUCAUGUUAAUAAUUUUCAGUUGCUUGGCAUUCUGGGAAAGACUGCCUCUUAUCUUUUGUAGGGCUUGGACCUGUAGGUGGAGUGCCAAAAAUGCUGGGAUUGUGGUCCUACCAAUGUUUCACUCUAUUGUUUUUUGAAACCAUCUCUCAAAACAAUUAAGACUUGGAAUUUCCUGGUUUGGUACACACUGAACAGAAGAGCUUGACCAGGAGAAGAUUUUCACGCAGUUCUAUUUUCAUUUAGCUGGUCUUAUCUUCAGACAGAGGGGAAAAAAGAUUUUUGAAAGUUGUCUAUCAUUUGAGAAAGUACAAAUGAGAGUGGGUACGAAAGAGAAAGUCUGUCAUCUGUUACUGUCCUAAAAAUGUACGUGGUGGUAAAUGAGUCAAGUAUUUUCCUUUUUUUUUAAUUGUGUGUAAAAAUUGUUGUAUUUCUUUCAUAUGAAUAGAGAGAUUAAUUGCAUUUUGUUAUUCAUACCAGUGCAUUUCUUAAACCGAAAGCUUUACCAGAUGCACCGUACAUACACCUCAGUGACUAAUGGAAUUCUGCCUUACCUGGAUGAGCUGAAACUGGCAUUGUCAUGGCCCAUCUCAACGUGUAAACGGCCCAGGCCCAACUCAGGCACUACAUGAAGGAGCCAAGCAGCCGGAUUGGCAAAUUCCACCUUGAAGAGGGCUGAGUUCUACAGAAAUAAACUAACUAAUGGUUUCUUUCCCCCAGUCUUGUUCUGCUGCCUUGGUUCAGCCCGCUGGGCGAUGUCAAGGUCUCCCAGAGGUCUUAAUCAUGCAGUGACAUUUUUACUCGAUUCACUACAUAGCACCUAUGUUAUAAAAGCAGAUUUCAGUUCAAUUAACUGGGAGUUGCAUUAGCAUUUAUGACAAGCGGCUACUGAAUUUCCUUGUACAGAGUUUUACAUCAGGUCUGUCACUGCGCUAUUGUUUUCUCGGGGUUUAUUGUGGCAGUUUGUCUGGAGGGGUUCCUCAGAACACCUUGCACAGCCCUGGCAGCAGGCAGCUGCUGGUCAGCCCCGUGUCACCCCAUCCCUGCGGCGGUGGCCUGUCUGCUGGGAGCAGGGAUGCUAACCGCAGGUGACGCUGUUGGUAUUCAAACUAAUUCUCAGCAUAGGCGUGGGUCGCUCCGAAAGUAAUGCUUCCUGUUUAUUGCCCUGGAAUCGACAACAGCUACAAAGAGCACAGUAACACUGUUGGAUAGAGCCAACCCUCAGCUACAACAUGCUAUUUUUCAACACAGUUGACGCCAUUAGCUGUGUGUUUCAGCACUGGCACUACGAUUUGUAGCAUUAAGAUUUUCUGUUUGUAGCUUGCCUAGAGACUAUAGUUCUUAAACCAAUAGCUCUUCGUGUCAUGUCAAAGUGUUUCAGUAGCGUUACUCGUUUUUGUAGUGCCUUGUGACACUGCGAGAAACAUCACAGUCAGUACGUCACGAGGCUGCCUCACACGGCGAGGGAACUGUCAGUGGGGAAAGCCGUGGAGCAGAGCUCGUUCACACGCACCGGCACCGCGGUACGGCACAGCGCCGCGGACUACAGCUCCCAUCGGCCC